rnacentral:rRNA from 1 species
UACGUAGGGUGCGAGCGUUAAUCGGAAUUACUGGGCGUAAAGCGUGCGCAGGCGGUUUUGUAAGACAGAGGUGAAAUCCCCGAGCUCAACCUGGGAACUGCCUUUGUGACUGCAAAGCUAGAGUACGGUAGAGGGGGAUGGAAUUCCGCGUGUAGCAGUGAAAUGCGUAGAUAUGCGGAGGAACACCGAUGGCGAAGGCAAUCCCCUGGACCUGUACUGACGCUCAUACACGAAAGCGUGGGGAGCAAACAGG